UCUUUUCUCAUUGUCAAGGGGCUCCAAACAUUUCCAACGGCAAGAUGUAUGUGUGUCUAAUUCAGCCUCUGGAGACUGAAACUUGACUACAACAGCAACCUUCAUAUGCCGUAAUAUAUGCACAUUGAUGCACUUGGGACGGAGAGGGGCAAUGCGAGCCUUGGAAGAGCGACGCUGGAGCUGCGCGUGGAGGGGAUGCGUCUGAGUGGAAGCCCCAUGCGAACUCACGCAGACCACCGUCUGAGCUCUCCACCGGAGCUUUCCUCCCCCAGCUGCAGCGCCGCUAGAGAGGCGACUUGGUUUUCCCUUUUGCAGUGAGACCCAACUGGCCGCAAGGAUUUAAAAAUUACCUCCUUGGCAAAAUCUCCUGUCUUGAAUUAUUGAUGCUUUUUUC